rnacentral:rRNA from 1 species
GACGAACGCUGGCGGCGUGCUUAAAACAUGCAAGUCGAACGGACUUCUCAUGAAGCUUGCGAUUGAGAAGUUAGUGGCGGACGGGUGAGUAACGCGUGGGCAACCUGCCCCUGAGCCCGGGAUAACAGUUCGAAAGGACUGCUAAGACCGGAUAUACUUGCGGUGAAGCAUUUCACUGCAAGGAAAGGGAACGCUCAGGGAUGGGCCCGCGUCCCAUUAGCUAGUUGGUGAGGUAACGGGCCCACCAAGGCGACGAUGGGUAGCCGGCCUGAGAGGGUGAACGGGCCACACCUGGGACUGAGACACGGCCCAGACUCCUACGGGAGGCAGCAGUUGGGAAUCUUCGGCAAUGGGCGCAAGCCUGACCGAGCAACGCCGCGUGAGUGAUGAAGGUUUUCGGAUUGUAAAGCUCUGUCUUCCGGGACGAUAAUGACGGUACCGGAGGAGGAAGCCACGGCUAACUACGUGCCAGCAGCCGCGGUAAAGUCACGUCG